rnacentral:rRNA from 1 species
UUCCGGUUGAUCCUGCCGGACCCGACUGCUAUCAGAGUGGGACUAAGCCAUGCGAGUCAACAUAGCAAUAUGUGGCAUACGGCUCAGUAACACGUAGUCAACAUGCCCAGGGGACGUGGAUAACCUCGGGAAACUGAGGAUAAACCGCGAUAGGUCAUCACUUCUGGAAUGGGUAAUGACUUAAAUCUAUAUGGCCCCUGGAUUGGACUGCGGCCGAUCAGACUGUUGGUGAGGUAAUGGCCCACCAAACCUGUAACCGGUACGGGCUCUGAGAGGAGGAGCCCGGAGAUGGGCACUGAGACAAGGGCCCAGGCCCUAUGGGGCGCAGCAGGCGCGAAACCUCUGCAAUAGGCGAAAGCUUGACAGGGUUACUCUGAGUGAUUUCCGUUAAGGAGAUCUUUUGGCACCUCUAAAAAUGGUGCAGAAUAAGGGGUGGGCAAGUCUGGUGUCAGCCGCCGCGGUAAUACCAGCACCCCGAGUGGUCGGGACGUUUAUUGGGCCUAAAGCAUCCGUAGCCGGUUCUACAAGUCUUCCGUUAAAUCCACCUGCUUAACAGAUGGGCUGCGGAAGAUACUAUAGAGCUAGGAGGCGGGAGAGGCAAGCGGUACUCGAUGGGUAGGGGUAAAAUCCGUUGA